AAUCCAUAAACAGUAUAAAUUGCCUUCAGUUUCAAGGUUCACAAUAACUUUUACACUGUACUGUACCUGAAAACAUCAUCGAUCCAUUUCUGACUUUUAGUCCGAACGAAAGUUUUCAACGACAUUGAAUUUUUCCUUGCAAAGUUUCAAGAGUGCCAGUACCAAGGAAACUUACUGUACUCAGUACCCAGAUUAGAGACACGUGUUUUUUCCCUCGAGCGAAGAAAGAAUAAAGCCUCGAUGUUUCAUUCGACCGAACGAUGUUGCGUUGUCUGUUUACCCCAGCGAAGUAUCCCCUUUGGCCAAUGGUCAAUAAUACAAGCGUUACGAUUCUUUUGAGAAAGACGAAAGAGGGCCAGUGUCCGAAAGCGAAAUACAGGCAGGCACAAUGUUCGCGAGAAGUUGAAAUUUUGCGAGGAGGCAACACAUUCAGGUUCCUGAGUAUUAUUUUUAGCACGGCGAACCACCUUGUUUCCGUCACAGUCACGUGAAUACACAGCAGGCCCUUUUACACGGUGCUUUGAAAAUCUAAAACCGUGUCUAAUGAAAUUACAGAAAUUAAGCAAGAGCCCCGCGUGUCUGGAUCGACUGCUGGUAACAUGGACGGAAGGAGAAGGGCAUGUCGGCUGUGCCUGGAAACGUCACCGAAAGAACGGAGCCCGGUCCACGCAACUUCCUACGGGCUGCACGAUCUUUACGAUAUCAGCGAACUCUUUCGUGAAGACGCCUCUUGAAAAAUUCAAACUACGAACUGACUAACUGCGCUAGUCAAAUGGAACGUUGUACAUUAUGAAUAUAUCUGACGAUAGUACGCGUACGAUUAAUUGUGGUAAGUAUAAUUUUAGAAAAUCAAUA